GAUGAAGAACGUAGCGAAAUGCGAUAAGUAAUGUGAAUUGCAGAAUUCAGUGAAUCAUCGAAUCUUUGAACGCACAUUGCGCCCGCCUGUAUUCUGGCGGGCAUGCCUGUUCGAGCGUCAUUUCAACCAUCAAGCCCCCGGGCUUGUGUUGGGGACCUGCGGCUGCCGCAGGCCCUGAAAAGCAGUGGCGGGCUCGCUGUCACACCGAGCGUAGUAGAUUUUAUCUCGCUCUGGGCGUGCUGCGGGUUCCGGCCGUUAAACCACCCUUUUAACCCAAGGUUGACCUCGGAUCAGGUAGGAAGACCCGCUGAACUUAAGCAUAUCAAUAAGCGGAGGA
rnacentral:misc_RNA from 1 species